UUUGGCGACGAUACCGAGGUUGUCCCACCCGAUUCCAUACCGAACUCGGAAGUGAAAUACCUCAGGGCCGAUGAUAUUGCUUCGGCGAGAAAGUAGGUCGUCGCCAACU
rnacentral:rRNA from 1 species